rnacentral:rRNA from 1 species
GAUGAACGCUGGCGGCGUGCCUAAUACAUGCAAGUCGAGCGAACAGACGAGGAGCUUGCUCCUCUGACGUUAGCGGCGGACGGGUGAGUAACACGUGGAUAACCUACCUAUAAGACUGGGAUAACUUCGGGAAACCGGAGCUAAUACCGGAUAAUAUAUUGAACCGCAUGGUUCAAUAGUGAAAGACGGUUUUGCUGUCACUUAUAGAUGGAUCCGCGCCGCAUUAGCUAGUUGGUAAGGUAACGGCUUACCAAGGCAACGAUGCGUAGCCGACCUGAGAGGUGGAUCGGCCACACUGGAACGGAGACACGGUCCAGACCCCUACGGGAGGCAGAGGAAGGGAAUCUUCCGCAAUGGGCGAAAGCCUGACGGAGCAACGCCGCGUGAGUGAUGAAGGUCUUCGGAUCGUAAAACUCUGUUAUUAGGGAAGAACAAAUGUGUAAGUAACUAUGCACGUCUUGACGGUACCUAAUCAGAAAGCCACGGCUAACUACGUG